rnacentral:rRNA from 1 species
GGCGACACAUGGAGCUGACAGAUACUAAUCGAUCGAGGACUUAACCACAUUU